rnacentral:rRNA from 1 species
CAGCAGUAGCCACGGUAAUACAGAGGGUGCGAGCGUUAAUCGGAUUUACUGGGCGUAAAGCGUGCGUAGGCGGCUUUUUAAGUCGGAUAUGAAAUCCCUGAGCUUAACUUAGGAAUUGCAUUCGAUACUGGGAAGCUAGAGUAUGGGAGAGGAUGGUAGAAUUCCAGGUGUAGCGGUGAAAUGCGUAGAGAUCUGGAGGAAUACCGAUGGCGAAGGCAGCCAUCUGGCCUAAUACUGACGCUGAGGUACGAAAGCAUGGGGAGCAAACAGGAUUAGAUACCCCUGUAGUCCCUGUCUCUUAUAC